rnacentral:rRNA from 1 species
GAUGAACGCUGGCGGCGUGCUUAACACAUGCAAGUCGAACGGACUUUACAUGAAGCCUAGCGAAUGUAAAGUUAGUGGCGGACGGGUGAGUAACGCGUGAAUAACCUGCCUUAUACUGGGGGACAACAGUUGGAAACGACUGCUAAUACCGCAUAAGCGCACGGAGCUGCAUGGCUCGGUGUGAAAAACUCCGGUGGUAUAAGAUGGAUUCGCGUCUGAUUAGCUAGUUGAUGAGGUAACGGCCCACCAAGGCGACGAUCAGUAGCCGGCCUGAGAGGGUGAACGGCCACAUUGGGACUGAGACACGGCCCAAAACUCCUACGGGAGGCAGCAGUGGGGAAUAUUGCACAAUGGGGGAAACCCUGAUGCAGCGACGCCGCGUGAGUGAAGAAGUAUUUCGGUAUGUAAACUUCUUUUACCAGGGACGAAGAACGUGACGGUACCUGGAGAAAAAGCCACGGCUAACUACGUG